rnacentral:rRNA from 1 species
UACGUAGGGUCCAAGCGUUAUCCGGAAUCACUGGGCGUAAAGCGUGCGUAGGUGGGUAAUUAAGUGCGAUGCGAAAUCCUGUGGCUCAACCAUACGGACUGUACCGCAUACUGGUUACCUAGAGGAUAUGAGAGGCAAGUGGAAUUACCGGUGUAGCAGUGAAAUGCGUAGAUAUCGGUAGGAACACCAAUGGCGAAGGCAGCUUGCUGGCAUAUUUCUGACGCUAAGGCACGAAAGCGUGGGGAGCGAACAGG